rnacentral:rRNA from 1 species
AGAGUUUGAUCAUGGCUCAGGACGAACGCUGGCGGCGCGCCUAACACAUGCAAGUCGAACGGAGCUGAGAGGAGCUUGCUUUUCUUAGCUUAGUGGCGAACGGGUGAGUAACGCGUGAGUAACCUGCCCUGGAGUGGGGGACAACAGUUGGAAACGACUGCUAAUACCGCAUAAGCCCACGGCCCGGCAUCGGGCUGAGGGAAAAGGAUUUAUUCGCUUCAGGAUGGACUCGCGUCCAAUUAGCUAGUUGGUGAGGUAACGGCCACCAAGGCGACGAUUGGUAGCCGGACUGAGAGGUUGAACGGCCACAUUGGGACUGAGACACGGCCCAGACUCCUACGGAGGCA